rnacentral:rRNA from 1 species
AGCAGCCGCGGUAAUUCCAGCUCCAAUAGCGUAUAUUAAAGUUGUUGCAGUUAAAAAGCUCGUAGUUGAACUUCGGGGUCUACCCAUUGGUCAGGCUUAAUUGUCUGCACUGGUGAGAUGGGAUCUCUACCUUCUGAGGAACUUUCAUGCCAUUUAUUUGGUGUGAUUGGAAAUCAGGACUGUUACUUUGAAAAAAUUAGAGUGUUUAAAGCAGACUAUCGUCUGAAUACAUUAGCAUGGAAUAAUGAAAUAGGACGGACUGAUUCUAUUUCGUUGGUUUCUAGGAUCACCGUAAUGAUUAAUAGGGAUAGUUGGGGGCAUUAGUAUUCAAUUGUCAGAGGUGAAAUUCUUGGAUUUAUUGAAGACUAACUACUGCGAAAGCAUUUGCCAAGGAUGUUUUUCAUUAAUCAAGAACGAAAGUUAGGGGAUCGAAGACGAUCAGAUACCGUCGUAGUCUUAACCAUAAACUAAUGCUGACUAGGGAUCGGAUGAUAUUAAUUUUUAA